GACGAACGCUGGCGGCGUGCUUAACACAUGCAAGUCGAGCGAUGAAACACCUUCGGGUGUGAAUUAGCGGCGAACGGGUGAGGAACACGUGAGAAAUCUGCCUUCAACACUGGGAUAACUCCGGGAAACCGGGGCUAAUACCGGAUAUGAAAUCUGCGGGCAUCCGCAGAUUUGGAAAGUUUUUCGGUUGAAGAUGAUCUCGCGGCCUAUCAGCUUGUUGGUGAGGUAAUGGCUCACCAAGGCGACGACG
rnacentral:rRNA from 1 species